rnacentral:rRNA from 1 species
GAUGAACGCUGGCGGCGUGCCUAACACAUGCAAGUCGAGCGGUAUAAACUUUAUCAAAUCUUCGGAAGAGAGACGGUAUAGAGAGCGGCGGACGGGUGAGUAACGCGUAGGCAACCUACCCCAUACAGAGGGAUAGCCUCGGGAAACCGGGAUAAAAACCUCAUAACGCGAAAGAGUCACAUGGCUAUUUCGCCAAAGAUUUAUCGGUAUGGGAUGGGCCUGCGUCUGAUUAGCUAGUUGGUGGGGUAACGGCCUACCUAGGCGACGAUCAGUAGCCGACCUGAGAGGGUAAUCGGCCACAUUGGAACUGAGACACGGUCCAAACUCCUACGGGAGGCAGCAGUGGGGAAUAUUGCACAAUGGGCGAAAGCCUGAUGCAGCAACGCCGCGUGAGCGAUGAAGGCCUUUGGGUCGUAAAGCUCUGUCCUUGGGGAAGAAUAAAUGACGGUACCCUUGGAGGAAGCCCCGGCUAACUACGUGCCAGCCGCCGCCGUAA